rnacentral:misc_RNA from 1 species
CAAAAAAAUAGAAAAUAUUGGUAGAAUGACGGCCAUGACGCAGGAAGAAAUUAUGGCUGGUGCCAGAAUUGUGGCCCAGGGUCUGGAAGCUCUCCGUGUAGAACAUGGAGGACUUCUUCAGGCUUUGCAGACCCAGGAUGCGCCAGUCGCAAGAGACAAAGCUAGUUUAUUAUCAAAGAAUAUUGAGAUGAUAGAAUUAGGCCUUGGGGAGGCACAAGUUAUGAUGGCUCUUGCAAAUCACUUACAAAUGGUAGAGGCUGAGAAACAAAAGCUUAGAACACAAGUAAGAAGGUUGUGCCAAGAAAAUGCCUGGUUAAGAGAUGAAUUGGCUGGUACACAGCAAAAAUUGCAAGCCAGUGAACAAGCACUAGUCCAGUUGGAAGAACAAAAGAAACAUUUAGAUUUUAUGGAAAGCAUGAAGCAGUACGAUCCUGAUCCUUCCGCGGAUGAUGAGAAUGCUAAAGACAGACCGCCAGAUGAUCCUGUAGUUGAUCUAUUCCCCGAUGAUGAUGCGGACGACCGAAAUAGUAAGUCAAUAUCACCGACACCGCCUUCACAAUUUGCACAACAAGUGAAUGCUGGAUACGAGAUACCUGCACGUUUGCGUACGCUGCACAAUUUGGUUAUACAGUACGCGAGCCAAGGCCGCUAUGAAGUAGCUGUUCCCUUAUGCAAGCAAGCAUUGGAGGAUUUGGAAAAAACUUCUGGUCACGAUCAUCCUGAUGUUGCCACAAUGUUGAACAUUCUUGCUUUAGUAUAUAGAGAUCAAAAUAAAUAUAAAGAAGCGGCAAAUUUGUUGAACGAUGCCUUGGCUAUUCGUGAAAAGACGCUUGGUGAAAAUCACCCUGCAGUCGCUGCUACGUUGAAUAAUUUGGCUGUUUUAUAUGGAAAACGGGGCAAAUAUAAGGAGGCUGAGCCGUUGUGCAAACGUGCUCUCGAUAUUCGAGAAAAGGUUCUCGGUCGUGAUCAUCCUGAUGUCGCGAAGCAAUUGAACAAUCUUGCGUUGCUGUGUCAGAAUCAGGGUAAAUACGAAGAGGUAGAACGCUAUUACUUGCGAGCGCUAGAAAUUUAUGAAGGUAAACUGGGACCGGAUGAUCCUAAUGUUGCAAAGACGAAAAAUAAUCUGGCAUCGUGUUACUUGAAGCAAGGAAAAUACAAGGAUGCUGAAGUUUUGUAUAAACAAGUAUUGACUAGAGCACACGAAAAAGAAUUUGGUGCUAUUGCCGGCGAUAAUAAACCAAUUUGGCAGGUUGCGGAAGAAAGAGAAGAAAAUAAGCAUAGAAAUAAAGAGAAUACUCCAUAUGGAGAAUACGGAGGCUGGCAUAAAGCUGCUAAAGUGGAUUCUCCUACAGUUACAACUACCUUAAAAAAUCUUGGUGCAUUAUAUCGAAGACAAGGAAAAUACGAGGCUGCAGAAACAUUAGAAGAUUGUGCUCUUAGGUCACGAAAAGAGCAGACAUUGGAGUUCGUGAAGCAAGGAAAAGUUGCGCAGCUUUUAGGAGAAGAGAAAGGAUCGACGAGACGCGGCUCGCGAUCCAGUUUAGCUAAUAGCGAACACGAGCAACAUGACGAGGGCUCGCUGCCGCUGGUACAAAGGGCGCUACAUGAAGGACAGUCUGGCCACAACGACGCUAGUCCUAACAAACCCGGUUUUAAAAACAAGAUCUUUCAAGCUUUCGGGAUUCAUUCUUCCACGUAGGAUAUUCUUCGUUUGUAGUAUUGCCUGUUCGAUUAAUGCCCGGUCGCACGAUAAUUUUAAAAAAUGCGUAAAAUUGUUUGGGAGAAGUUACAAUUUAGGUAUUUUAGGUUUCGAAG